GGCCACACCGCCUCGGUUACUGAAGAGAAACCAAAGGAGACCGUGUCUAUCAUCCCGCCCUCCUCUCUUCCUCUGCAGCUCACCAGGGAUUGCCUCAUUUGAACCACCCACAAAGUAUGUAAGUGGGGAACCCUCAGAGACUCCUGGGUGCAGCAUGGAGGCGUGGUUACAAACUUUACCAUGAAAAGAACUAGGUCCAAAACCAACUUCUCUUACUAGAUUCAUUAUUCAAUAUGAAGCUACAUUUAAAAAGACAGUGAGAAGAGUGGGAUCUUAGAAGAAGCUGCUUUGCUGUGA